UACGUAGGGGGCGAGCGUUGUCCGGAAUUAUUGGGCGUAAAGCGCGCGCAGGCGGUUUUUUAAGUCUGAUGUAUAAGUUCAAGGCUCAACCUUGGGACGCAUUGGAAACUGGGGGACUGGAGUGUAGGAGAGGAAAGUGGAAUUCCACGUGUAGCGGUGAAAUGCGUAGAGAUGUGGAGGAACACCAGUGGCGAAGGCGACUUUCUGGCCUAUAACUGACGCUGAGUCGCGAAAGCGUGGGGAGCAAACAGC
rnacentral:rRNA from 1 species